rnacentral:rRNA from 1 species
AAAAGUCGUAACAAGGUUUCCGUAGGUGAACCUGCGGAAGGAUCAUUAUAGUACAACGGAGGCACCUGGGCUGUCGCUGACCUUUGAAAACGAAAAGGACGUGCACGCCCGGAGUGCUCUCUCACAUCCAUCUCACCCCUUUGUGCAUCACCGCGUGGGGCCCUCUCUUUUGGCUUGUUCCGGGAGGGGGGUUCCACGUUUUUACAUGAACAACCCAUUAAUGCAUGUGUAGAAUGUCUUACUUAUUUUAAAUACAACUUUCAACAACGGAUCUCUUGGCUCUCGCAUCGAUGAAGAACGCAGCGAAAUGCGAUACGUAAUGUGAAUUGCAGAAUUCAGUGAAUCAUCGAAUCUUUGAACGCACCUUGCGCCCCUUGGUAUUCCGAGGGGUGCACCCGUUUGAGUGUCGUGAACACCCUCAACCUUCUUGGUUUAUCGACCGGGGAAGGCUUGGACUUUGGAGGUUUUUGUUGCUGGCCUCGUUUGAAGCCAGCUCCUCCUAAACGAAUUAGUGGGGCCCGCCGUGCCGAUCCUCGACGUGAUAAGUACGCUUCUACGUCUUGGGGUUUCGCACCGUUCUCGCUUCCAACUUCGAGUCGUGACUCGACCUUAUAAACCUUGACCUCAAAUCGGGUGAGACUACCCGCUGAACUUAAGC